UACGUAGGGGGCGAGCGUUGUCCGGAGUUACUGGGCGUAAAGGGCACGCAGGCGGUGCAGCGCGCUUCGCGUGACAGCGGAGGGCUUAACUCUCCGAGGAUGGGAAAGACGGCCGCACUUGAGGACCAGAGAGGGACACGGAAUUCCGGGUGGAGUGGUGAAAUGCGUAGAGAUCCGGAGGAACACCGAGGGCGAAGGCAGUGUCCUGGCUGGUAACUGACGCUGAGGUGCGAAAGCUAGGGGAGCGAACGGG
rnacentral:rRNA from 1 species